UUCAUUUUGAAAACAGCAUCAUAAAGCAUCCUCCAAUAAAAUUUAAUUUCUUUUAGCAUAAAUUUCAUUUGGGUUACUUCAACUAUUCAAGGAUUUUAGGAGCUGAAGAGCAAUUCAGGUAACAAAAUGAACAUAAAACGAUAAUUCAGAGAUGGGUAGAGUUACUAGGGUAUAGGCUAUUAUAACUGUUGAAUCUUCAAUUUAGGGUGAAUUCUGAACGAAUAACCUUUACAUGAUUAUGGGUCCCCAAAAGGUAAGAAUUUCACUAAAAGCAUGACAGUAAGCCUUCGACUAAGGACUUGAUUAUGGCACAACAUCAAUGACACACACAUAGUUCCAUCAACAAGCUGCUUAGUGCUUUCAG
rnacentral:misc_RNA from 1 species